AGUGAACGCUGGCGGUAGGCCUAACACAUGCAAGUCGAACGGCAGCACAGUAAGAGCUUGCUCUUACGGGUGGCGAGUGGCGGACGGGUGAGGAAUACAUCGGAAUCUACUUUUUCGUGGGGGAUAACGUAGGGAAACUUACGCUAAUACCGCAUACGACCUACGGGUGAAAGCAGGGGAUCUUCGGACCUUGCGCGAUUGAAUGAGACGAUGUCGGAUUAGCUAGUUGGCGGGGUAAAGGCCCACCAAGGCGACGAUCCGUAGCUGGUCUGAGGGGAUGAUCAGCCGCACUGGAACUGAGACACGGUCCAGACUCCUACGGGAGGCAGCAGUGGGGAAUAUUGGACAAUGGGCGCAAGCCUGAUCCAGCCAUACCGCGUGGGUGAAGAAGGCCUUCGGGUUGUAAAGCCCUUUUGUUGGGAAAGAAAAGCAGCAGGUUAAUACCCCGCUGUUCUGACGGUACCCAAAGAAUAAGCACCGGCUAACUUCGUG
rnacentral:rRNA from 1 species